AUUGAACGCUGGCGGCAGGCCUAACACAUGCAAGUCGAGCGGCGCGGCGGCCGGGUGCGUAAUGCCUAGGAAUCUGCCUCGUAGUGGGAGAUAACGUCCGCAAACGGGCGCUGAUACCGCAUCCUAUCAGAUGAGCCUAGGGCGGAUUAGCUAGUUGGUGGGGUAAAGGUCUACCAAGUCGACGAUCCGUAACUGGUCUGAGAGGAUGAUCAGUCACACUGGAACUGAGACACGGUCCAGACUCCUACGGGAGGCAGCAGUGGGGAAUAUUGGACAAUGGGCGAAAGCCUGAUCCAGCCAUGCCGCGUGUGUGAAGAAGGUCUUCGGAUUGUAAAGCACUUUAAGUUGGGAGGCGUUACCAGCAGAAUAAGCACCGGCUAACUCCGUGCCAGCAGCCGCGGUAAUUC
rnacentral:rRNA from 1 species